GCUAAAAGAGGAUGAUCAUCAAGAGAAACAAGCAAAGAGGAAAGAUCUGUGACUUCCGUCAAGGAACUCUGAGCCCACUGCAAGUUUUCACAUACCCCAGAGAAAGGGUAAGGAAUGGCCAGCGCAUGGAUUUCCAAAUAUUGGGAAGAGCAGGUCUUCUGAAGAGCCAGGUGGCACCUACCCAUCAUGCGGAGCUCAGAUUGCGCGGAUGGGCAAGAGAAUGGAAAACGUGGCCCACAGCAGCUUCGACACGUGGCACAGAGAUUGCAGCUCCGAGGAGGCCGUUUCACCUGCUCUCUCCUCCUCACUCGUUCCUGGCGGUGGCUCCACUUAAAGCUUGGACUCGUGGCUCCAAUCAAGCGAGCGCCCGAAUUCCUAGAGUCAGUGCUCUGGGAAGCAUCUAG
rnacentral:lncRNA from 1 species